CAGUAGGGAAUCUUCCACAAUGGACGCAAGUCUGAUGGAGCAACGCCGCGUGAGUGAAGAAGAUCUUCGGAUCGUAAAACCUCUGUUGUUAGAGAAGAACACGAGUGAGAGUAACUGUUCAUUCGAUGACGGUAUCCAACCAGCAAGUCACGGCUAACUACGUGCCAG
rnacentral:rRNA from 1 species